GGUGUUCCCAUGAUGACAUUAAGCAGCCUGGGUGGAGAGAGCCGGACUUUCCUGGCCACCUCACGCGGGGAGACCGGCACAGGUACACUAGGAACAGAGCACAGACACGCCGCUGUGUACUGAUGGAGUUCAUCAGUCAGUGUGAGGGCGCGUUGCCGGAAGAUGUGACUCUGUUCCCCCUCACCCUGAGGACAAGGCAGGGCCACCGCACGAUACAACAACAUGCCGAUCUCCAUGGAUUCCCGAAACACAGAAAAAAGUUGCAGGCUGAUAACCAGAGACAAACGGACCCAGUAACAGGGCUGCCUGACGCCAGCACUGACUGUUUUGAAAUAAUGCAGGAAGAAGAAGAAUGCAGGGCCUUCACUACUUUGAUCCUUAUCAUAUACCCUGGACUGCUAGCCCCACAUAUAAAAUCUUCUCCCAUUCCCGAAGGGGGUGUGGGCACAGUUCUUGAGGCGCUAGACUUCUGUCUUCCCUUCUGCCUGGCA